GUGGGGAAUCUUGCGCAAUGGGCGAAAGCCUGACGCAGCCAUGCCGCGUGAAUGAUGAAGGUCUUAGGAUUGUAAAAUUCUUUCACCGGGGACGAUAAUGACGGUACCCGGAGAAGAAGCUCCGGCUAACUUCGUGCCAGCAGCCGCGGUAAUACGAAGGGGGCUAGCGUUGCUCGGAAUUACUGGGCGUAAAGGGCGCGUAGGCGGACAGCUUAGUCAGAGGUGAAAGCACAGGGCUCAACCUUGGAAUUGCCUUUGAUACUGGCUGUCUUGAGUUUGGGAGAGGUGAGUGGAACUCCGAGUGUAGAGGUGAAAUUCGUAGAUAUUCGGAAGAACACCAGUGGCGAAGGCGACUCACUGGCCCAAUACUGACGCUGAGGCGCGAAAGCGUGGGGAGCAAACAGGAUUAGAAACCCUUGUAGUCC
rnacentral:rRNA from 1 species